rnacentral:tRNA from 1 species
AGUCAGUAAGUUUUAGAUAAACUUAUACUUUGAAAGUAUAUAAUGAAAGUUAAAUUCUUUCAUUGACUU